GACGAACGCUGGCGGCGUGCCUAAUACAUGCAAGUCGAACGCAGUGGGGACGGGUGAGUAACACGUGGGUAACCUCCCAUCAGAGGGGAUAACACUUGGAAACAGGUGCUAAACCGAUACUGAUGGAUGAACCCGCGGUGCAUUAGCUAGUUGGUGAGGUAACGGCUCACCAAGGCCACGAUGCAUAGGCGACAGGGGAGGGUGGUAGGCCAUACGGGGACGGCGACACGGCCCAAACUCCUGCGGGAGGCAGCAGUAGGGAAUCUGCGGAAAUGGACGAAAGUCUGACCGAGCAACGCCGCGUGAGUGAAGAAGGUUUUCGGAUCGUAAAACUCGGUUGUUGGAGAAGCGGUAUCUAACCAGAAAGCCACGGCUAACUACGUGCCAGCAGCCGCGGUAAUAG
rnacentral:rRNA from 1 species